rnacentral:rRNA from 1 species
GAUGAACGCUGGCGGCGUGCCUAAUACAUGCAAGUCGAGCGAACGGACGAGAAGCUUGCUUCUCUGAUGUUAGCGGCGGACGGGUGAGUAACACGUGGAUAACCUACCUAUAAGACUGGGAUAACUUCGGGAAACCGUAGCUAAUACCGGAUAAUAUUUUGAACCGCAUGGUUCAGAAGUGAAAGACGGUCUUGCUGUCACUUAUAGAUGGAUCCGCGCUGCAUUAGCUAGUUGGUAAGGUAACGGCUUACCAAGGCAACGAUGCAUAGCCGACCUGAGAGGGUGAUCGGCCACACUGGAACUGAGACACGGUCCAGACUCCUACGGGAGGCAGCAGUAGGGAAUCUUCCGCAAUGGGCGAAAGCCUGACGGAGCAACGCCGCGUGAGUGAUGAAGGUCUUCGGAUCGUAAAACUCUGUUAUUAGGGAAGAACAUAUGUGUAAGUAACUGUGCACAUCUUGACGGUACCUAAUCAGAAAGCCACGGCUAACUACGU